AGUCGANCGGGANUCUUCGGAUUCUAGUGGCGGACGGGUGAGUAACGCGUAAGAAUCUAACUUCAGGACGGGGACAACAGUUGGAAACGACUGCUAAUACCCGAUAUGCCGCAAGGUGAAACCUAAUUGGCCUGGAGAAGAGCUUGCGUCUGAUUAGCUAGUUGGUGGGGUAAGAGCCUACCAAGGCGACGAUCAGUAGCUGGUCUGAGAGGAUGAGCAGCCACACUGGGACUGAGACACGGCCCAGACUCCUACGGGAGGCAGCAGUGGGGAAUUUUCCGCAAUGGGCGAAAGCCUGACGGAGCAACGCCGCGUGAGGGAGGAAGGUCUUUGGAUUGUAAACCUCUUUUCUCAAGGAAGAAGUUCUGACGGUACUUGAGGAAUCGGCCUCGGCUAACUCCGUGCCAGCAGCCGCGGUAAUACGGGGGAGGCAAGCGUUAUCCGGAAUUAUUGGGCGUAAAGCGUCCGCAGGUGGUCAGCCAAGUCUGCCGUCAAAUCAGGUUGCUUAACGACCUAAAGGCGGUGGAAACUGGCAGACUAGAGAGCAGUAGGGGUAGCAGGAAUUCCCAGUGUAGCGGUGAAAUGCGUAGAGAUUGGGAAGAACAUCGGUGGCGAAAGCGUGCUGCUGGGCUGUAUCUGACACUCAGGGACGAAAGCUAGGGGAGCGAAAGGGAUUAGAUACCCCUGUAGUUCUAGCCGUAAACGAUGGAUACUAGGCGUGGCUUGUAUCGACCCGAGCCGUGCCGAAGCUAACGCGUUAAGUAUCCCGCCUGGGGAGUACGCACGCAAGUGUGAAACUCAAAGGAAUUGACGGGGGCCCGCACAAGCGGNGGAGU
rnacentral:rRNA from 1 species